rnacentral:rRNA from 1 species
ACGGAGGGGGUUAGCGUUGUUCGGAAUUACUGGGCGUAAAGCGCACGUAGGCGGAUUGGAAAGUAUGGGGUGAAAUCCCAGGGCUCAACCCUGGAACGGCCUUGUAAACUCCCAGUCUAGAGUUCGAGAGAGGUGAGUGGAAUUCCAAGUGUAGAGGUGAAAUUCGUAGAUAUUUGGAGGAACACCAGUGGCGAAGGCGGCUCACUGGCUCGAUACUGACGCUGAGGUGCGAAAGUGUGGGGAGCAAACAGG